rnacentral:misc_RNA from 1 species
GAUGAAGAACGUAGCGAAAUGUGAUACUUGGUGUGAAUUGCAGAAUCCCGUGAACCAUCGAGUCUUUGAACGCAAGUUGCGCCCGAAGCCAUUUGGUUGAGGGCACGUCUGCCUGGGCGUCACAUAUCGUUGCCCGAUGCCUAUUGCACUGUGAUAGGAAAUUCUAGGGCGAAAGAUGGCUUCCCGUGAGCGUUGUUGCCUCGCGGUUGGUUGAAAAUUGAGUCCUUGGUAGGGUGUGCCAUGAUAGAUGGUGGUCGAGUUUGCACGAGACCGAUCAUGUGUGCGCUCCCCAAAAUAUGGACUCUUUGACCCCACACGCGUCUUUUGACGCUCAUGACGAGACCUCAGGUCAGGCGGGGCUACCCGCUGAGUUUAAGCAUAUCAUAAGCGGAGGA